GAGGGUAUGGCUCAGUGGUAGAGCACAUGCUUAGCAUGCACGACAUCCUGGUUUCAAUUCCCAGUACUUCCG
rnacentral:tRNA from 1 species